AUCUGUAUCGACAACCAGGGGGCACUAAAGUAGUCAGGUUUGACAUUUAACAACAGUGACUCAUAUUGUUGACAUCUCAACGUCAUUUAGAACGAAACAAAUGUUUUUAAGAGCGAAAAACAAAAGUUUAGAAGAACCAAAAAUAAAUUAUCGAAGGUUCCAGGAUGUUUACCAUCUAAGCAGAAAUUCUACGAAUUCUACAGGAUGCGUCGCGAGACGGUCGCAGAGCGGAAGUGGAACACCUUCCGACCGAUAUACGCAACAACGUCGAUGUGGGUGGCGAUGAGGAUGUAGGUUGGGAUACAGACGAUGCUACGGGGAGUAGGCAAUAGCAUGGGGAUAGGCCGUAAUUGGUAUAAAAUCAUCGAGCAAACACAUCGGACAAGACAGCCUGAGGGUUGUGGGCGGCGUUACGUGCCGUCGCCUUGGUAACCGUGGGGCGAUUCUGCUAAAGCACCCCUUCGCCUUGAUUGCGCACAGGCCCAACCGCCCCCGUGUACGUACGCUCUGCUAUCUAUCUAUGUGUGCGUGUGUUUCGCGCGUAUACUGCGUGUUUCUAUAUGUAUACGAGUAUCCGCGAAAGCGCCAUCUGGUCUUAGCUACAUGCCAGAUUUACAAGGCGCGCUCACGGUCCGUUUUUCCUUGUAUGCGUUACACGCAUCUCCUGUCGACUAUGCGUGCAUGGAAACUAUCCUUAACCGGUGGCAUACUACCACAGAGAUCAGCUACCAUACUUUGGGAAAUAUUUCAGUCUGCGCGAGUUUGUCCUAAGGUAUCGUCGAGAACCUGUCGGAUUCCAUAAUGGCCGCUAUAACAAAAUUUAGAUUAUAGUUUCGUUUCUAGAAGGAUCUAUAAUAACGUAGUAUGCAGCUUUUCGCUGAGUUAAAUCGAUGUAGAAUUUAUUUUCGAAAUAAUUUCUUGAAUUGAACUAUAUCUUUAUGGUCUUUGUUUAGGGCGGAGAUUGAAAUAAAGAUUAUAGCGGAGUAUACUGCUAAAGCUCCCCCCCUUAAUAAUAAGGGAAUAUCACACCCUCUGUAUUUCGAUAUACCUAUAUAAGUGCUUUCAUCGGAACACGCAACUUGUCGAGUGUUUAGUUUAACCGCACCCCGUGGAUCCGCGUUUAUGCUCCUAAUCGGACUGGAUUAUGGUCAGUUUCGUCGUGUCGCUCGUAAACCAUGUCACGAGACAUAUGUUAUUCUUCGUGCAUUCGAUCGCCACGUGCAAUAUUUUCUUUCGUUUUCCAGCGAAACAUAACAAGACUCGUUGCACGUGUCGUUGAAAACGUAAUCCGUUCGAAAUCUGUCUUCAAUGUCUGUAUAAUCGAUCAUUGAAUCUUCAAUUUCCAUCUGUUUCGCACGAACCUAGAUUUUUAUUCUCUGUCCAAUUAAAUACGUAAUCUUCUUAUCCCACCAUCUUGUCAGAUAUCUUGACUUUGUACUACAUAAAAAAAAAGAAAAAAAGAAAAGAAAAAACAAAACGAAUAUUCUUCGCAUCGCGUGUCACCUAUUUAAAAAAUCCUAUAAAUUAUCUCAAGUAGAUCCAUUAAUCUUUCUAUCGUUGCAAAAACGAUUAGCUACAAAAAAACCGCUCCCUUCGUUCGAGAUAAUCCUGCAAAGAUUUGAUCGAUCUACUUAAAUUACCAUCAUUUUAUUCAUUGUUACGUUUCAAACGUUCCCGACACGUCGAAUAAGGAAGUCCGAUUUUCACGAUCAUGUAGCCGAUGUCGAUCACACGUCUCUCGAUUCUCGUCAAAUUAAGGCGCCUUCGACCUUCCUUUCUCUGGUCGUCGGCUUAAUCGCGGUCAGCGUCGGGACGUCGCUGUCGGGAAUGGGUCGCGUCCGCGACGGGUGAUCGCGCAAUUUCACAGGAUCGUGACUGCGUCAGAUUCGCUGGCCGAAGAAUUUAACGAGGCGCACGCGGCUCGCCCUCCUUCGGUGCGAUCGUCGUUCCAAUCGCACACGUUCGAUAAUAGCGGCCCUUGUAAACGCGAACACCCUUAAUCAUUGUGUCCUUGUUACACCAAUCUCACGGCUGAUGUAUAUUCAUGGACCUGUCCACGCAUGUCGAACCAGAAUCGUGUAAAUGCCACCGAUCGCUCACCCGAUCUGCUCGAACACCCGAUACGAUCAUUUUCAUGGAAGGGUGGAUUUCGUGUAACGUACGAUGACGUGCAGGUUGUUGAUUGAUAUCUGGGAAGCAAUCACUUGGUUACGAGAUACAUCGAUGUUUCUAAGUAUCGCGAUACCUACUCGUUACAUUCGUUGGAAAAGACUAACAAGUUUUACUUUGGUUAAUCCUGUUGUUCUUUUUGGAUCUACGAUCCAUGUGACAUGAAAUGGAUGUUACGUUUCGAUCGAUACGUAGAUUCGUAACAAAAGUAAUUAGUAUUUAAGAACGGAGAAAAGUAUUCAAUUUAUAUCAAAUAUCAGCAGUUGUUCCAAUAUGUGUAGAUUUAGAGUUAUCGAAAGUGGCGUAAAUCGACAGUCUGAGGUUUCGUCAUUGGAUUCUUCCAAGUUAAUUGUAAUUUUAUUAGAAACGUAAUAUUUUUAGUUGAUUAAUUGUUUGAUUUGUUGAUGCUUCCUUCGGACGAGGAUAAAUUUCUCGAUAUUUUGCUUAAAAUUUUUUAUAUCCACGGUCCUUACAGAAUUGAAGUUUCGAAUACGCUUCAAAAGAGAUUUCUUAAUUUCUCCGGUUCUCACAGUGCCAAGUCGACUUUCGAAUCGCACGAACACAGUGUGAUUCUGU